rnacentral:rRNA from 1 species
UUUACUGUAUCCUGAAAUUGAACUCGGGUUUAUUCUGCGCAGUAUAGGUGGGAGGCUAAGACGAUGCGUUUGCGGAUGCAUAAGAGCUAGUAGUGAGAUACCACCCUUAAUGAACUAGGAUUCUAAUUUUGAAUGCCAUAAACUGGCCAAAAAACAGUUUCAGGUGGGCAGUUUGACUGGGGCGGUCGCCUCCUAAAAAGUAACGGAGGCGUGCAAAGGUUCCCUCAGGCUGGUCGGAAAUCAGUCGUAGAGUGUAAAGGCAUAAGGGAGCUUGACUGCAAGACUUACAAGUCGAGCAGAGACGAAAGUCGGCCUUAGUGAUCCGACAGUGCUGAGUG